rnacentral:rRNA from 1 species
UGGGGAAUAUUGGACAAUGGGGGCAACCCUGAUCCAGCCAUGCCGCGUGAGUGAAGAAGGCCUUCGGGUUGUAAAGCUCUUUCGGCGGGGACGAAACGGUCCGUGACAACACCACGGACUAAUGACAGUACUCGCAGAAGAAGCACCGGCUAACUACGUGCCAGCAGCCGCGGUAAUACGUAGGGUGCAGGCGUUAAUCGGAAUUACUGGGCGUAAAGCGUGCGCAGGUGGCUCCUUAAGUCAGAUGUGAAAUCCCCGGGCUUAACCUGGGAACUGCGUUUGAAACUGAGGAGCUAGAGUGUGGAAGAGGGGGGUGGAAUUCCAGGUGUAGCAGUGAAAUGCGUAGAGAUCUGGAGGAACACCGAUGGCGAAGGCAGCCCCCUGGGCUAACACUGACACUCAUGCACGAAAGCGUGGGGAGCAAACAGGAUUAGAUACCCGCGUAGUCCCUGAGCGGGC